UACAGAGGAUGCAAGCGUUAUCCGGAAUGAUUGGGCGUAAAGCGUCUGUAGGUGGCUUUUUAAGUCCGCCGUCAAAUCUCAGGGCUCAACUCUGGACAGGCGGUGGAAACUACCAAGCUGGAGUACGGUAGGGGCAGAGGGAAUUUCCGGUGGAGCGGUGAAAUGCGUAGAGAUCGGAAAGAACACCAGCGGCGAAAGCGCUCUGCUGGGCCGACACUGACACUGAGAGACGAAGGCUAGGGGAGCGAAUGGG
rnacentral:rRNA from 1 species